rnacentral:rRNA from 1 species
UACAGGGGGUGCAAACGUUGCUCGGAAUCAUUGGGCGUAAAGCGCACGUAGGCGGUUCGUUAUGUCGGAUGUGAAAGCCCUUGGCUUAACCGAGGAAGUGCAUCCGAAACUGGCGAGCUAGAGUACGAAAGAGGAUCGCGGAAUUCCCGGUGUAGAGGUGAAAUUCGUAGAUAUCGGGAGGAACACCGGUGACGAAGGCGGCGAUCUGGGUCGAUACUGACGCUGAGGUGUGAAAGCGUGGGGAGCAAACAGG